UGGGGCGUAGCCAAGCGGUAAGGCAACGGUUUUUGGUACCGUCAUUCCCAGGUUCGAAUCCUGGCGCCCCAGCCA
rnacentral:tRNA from 1 species